GUGAAUCAUCGAAUCUUUGAACGCAAAUUGCACUCUCCUCGGAGAGUAUGCCUGUUUGAGGGUCAGCCUAUAAAAAAUCGACAUCGUUGCUUUUUCACGGUGACGUGCGUCUGGGAUUGGGUCAUCUUAAAUCUGUUGUUUUUUAAUCGACUUAAAAUUUUCUUUGUGGUUCCAUGAACGUUUCUAAUAUCUAUUUCUUUACACGUUUAAGUUAUCGAUUUUUACUAGACGUUGCGAUCAUAUCG
rnacentral:misc_RNA from 1 species